rnacentral:lncRNA from 1 species
GACGACACUGAAAUCUUAUCGAACUCUCCAGUCUCCCUGGAGAAAGCUGUCGUGGAGUCGCCGGCAGCUUUUGGAGACGCAAAGGGACUGUCGGGGAGGUUGUGCUCCAAACUACAUUCAAAUCAAUAAAGAAACUUAAUCAUUCAGAGCAAUAGAACAUGACACCAAAUAAAUAGAUGAAUUAGAGGUCACACAUCAACAUUUAAUAUGCAUUCAACUAACACACUUGAAUGCUAAUUUCAGGACAUUACUGGUAAUAAUGAGUUUCGAAUCAAGAUAAGAAACACAGAAAACAAGGAGAGGUCCAGUACCUUCCUUUCAAAUCACUUUCUUUGUUGGGAUUUUCUGCGUCUUUGGUCGUUUCAUCCUUGAGAGAAGAAGAUUGUUUCUCUGUAUCAGUAACAUUCACUGGAUUUUUCACAGCCGAAAUUGAACUAUUUUCUGUAACAGCAUAAUUCCAAAUGCAAAAGUCUUUAUCCCAUCUUUCGACAACCAUGAAACACAAUGUCUAAUGAAAACUGAAAUAAAUAAAAAUGGCACCUUCUUUAGAUUCCAGGCUACCGCGAUCACCCGAUAGGACGACAUUUUGAUUGAAAAAACUCGGAGACUGUGUUGGGGAUGAAAGAAUGCCACCGGUAGAGAGUGUUCGGUGGUGGCUAUUCCUCUUGAUGUCAAGUUGUAGACCCAUAAGUCUCCUAUUUUGGAGCUCAAUUGCUUGCUGCAAAUCUGCUUGCUCCUCUAGUUUUCUUCUCCAUAACAUGUCGGGAUUGUUGUAGAACAUCCCUGCGCCUAAAGCCAAAAAGAAAAUACCAUUUUAAUCAAACAUGAAUUAGGAACGUCCUUUUUUCUUUUAGAAACCAACUGAAGUGAAGGCAUGAAGCAUUGCUGUUUACUUCAAGAAACCAAGAAAUCGUUGGUGCACGAUGCAAGGGAUGAGUAUUUACUUACCGAGCUGAAGAUCAUAAGAAUCUUUCGACUCCAGCCCGGUAGGGCUACUAUAUCCCGUGUACUCUCCCCUCUCCAUCUGAGGCUGUUUCCUGUAAGUGUCAUCAAAUUUAACAUUAAUAAUACAUAAGAUAAUUGGUCUACCACCCAGAAAGGCUUAUAGAGGGACUAACCUGUGUUUGUCGGGGAUUUUGCCUUUCUCCUUGUAUGGUUUGACGAGUACACGAGCAUCACAUACAUAGUGGGGAUUGCCCUUUGCAAGAAUGAGCUUUACAGUCUCCGGAUAAACAAAUGUGACAAAACCAAACAUCCGUUUCUGUUGAUACGGAAUCCUCACAUCUUGAACUGGCCCGUAAAUACUUCAAGAUGAAGCAAAUUAUUUAAUAAACUCAAUUCCAUCAGCUAAAGAAAGGUAUAAAUAACCUCAUUCAAGCUCAGGAAGAAAUUCAUGCACCUGAAAUAAUUGGACACAUCUUCCUCCUUGAAAGUACUAUCAGCUGGAAAUGUCAAGUAAAUUUGCCUCGAACCAGGAUUCAUCAUACCAAAAUCACCUCUUUCGAGCCGAGACCGACUAAAUUUGUGCAUAUCAUCACCCAAAAAGGCUCUACAAGUUCAAAUCCAAAAUUAUUAACUUCAACAAAAUUAUGAACCCAAUAAAAAGGUCAAGUAAAGAUGUUCAUGCCUUGGACUCUCAGCUUGCAGUUGCUCUUCAAAUAUUAUAAUCUUGGAUUUUCUUGAAUCUGGAUCUAAACGAGUUAAAGAAAGAUUUUGGAUUUAUAAUUUUCUUUUUUGGAUUAUACAAUGGGAAAUAGCCAUCAAUACUGAGAUGAGGGAAGAAAAUACAGACCCUGAAAUUUACUUACUUACUUCUACACAUUGAUAUUUCUUUGAUUUCACUGAAACUAUUUCCUUUUUCUACCUGUUGUCCAGCAACUUUCUUCAACUACAGAAAUGAAAAGAGAAAUGGAUGGCUGUCUCUCAAUCUGUCCCACUUUCUUUACUGCCUUUUAAUGUAUGCCUUUUAAUUUAAUGUAUGAUAGUAAGUAGGUAUAGUAUUUCUAACUAAUGCUGCCUGUCACACUGACUUGGAAUUUGAUUUAGCAGAUCAAAUCAAUCUUCAUCCUGUAGAAAGAUUCAACACAAAAUGCAAACCCACCUCAGGAAAUGAACAAGUAUCAAGAUAAAAGUACUAAGCAAAACCAUAAAAAUUAAUUAAGCAGAAGCUUAUAAUUAAGGGACAACAAAUUAUUUUGUUUACUUACCUCCAUUAAGGAAGCUAAAAAGCAAGACAAGAUUCUAGGCCUACAUUCCAAUGGCCUCGUGACCAGAAGCAAACCUGCAUUAUUCAUUUAGGUAGUUGCUUGUAUGUAUCAAUAAUUUCGUCUAAUUAAUGGUAAUCGAGUGAGUAAUCAUACCUAGGCACUUGAAAGUAACACGAUUUGAAUGGAGCCACGUCUACCGAAGAACUAGCAGGAAAGAAAGACGAACUGAUCGAGUUAUUGUUAGCCAGAGACGACACUGAAAUCUUAUCGAACUCUCCAGUCUCCCUGGAGAAAGCUGUCGUGGAGUCGCCGGCAGCUUUUGGAGACGCAAAGGGACUGUCGGGGAGGUUGUGCUCCAAACUACAUUCAAAUCAAUAAAGAAACUUGAUCAUUCAGAGCAAUAGAACAUGACACCAAAUAAAUAGAUGAAUUAGAGGUCACACAUCAACAUUUAAUAUGCAUUCAACUAACACACUUGAAUGCUAAUUUCAGGACAUUACUGGUAAUAAUGAGUUUCGAAUCAAGAUAAGAAACACAGAAAACAAGGAGAGGUCCAGUACCUUCCUUUCAAAUCACUUUCUUUGUUG